GUGGAUGUAGCUCAAUCGGUAGAGCAACUGUAUGUGGCACAGUAGGUUUUCUGUUCAAGUCAGGGUAUCCACC
rnacentral:tRNA from 1 species